UACGGAGGGUGCGAGCGUUGUCCGGAAUCACUGGGCGUAAAGGGCGCGUAGGCGGCGCGGGUAGUCAUCGGUGAAAGUUCAGGGCUCAACUCUGAAUCGGCCGGUGAUACUCCCGUGCUCGAGCACUGUAGAGGCAGGUGGAAUUCCGGGUGUAGCGGUGGAAUGCGUAGAGAUCCGGAAGAACACCGGUGGCGAAGGCGGCCUGCUGGGCAGUUACUGACACUGAUGCGCGACAGCGUGGGGAGCAAACAGG
rnacentral:rRNA from 1 species